GAUGAACGCUGGCGGCGUGCCUAAUACAUGCAAGUCGAGCGAACAGACGAGGAGCUUGCUCCUCUGACGUUAGCGGCGGACGGGUGAGUAACACGUGGAUAACCUACCUAUAAGACUGGGAUAACUUCGGGAAACCGGAGCUAAUACCGGAUAAUAUAUUGAACCGCAUGGUUCAAUAGUGAAAAACGGUUUUGCUGUCACUUAUAGAUGGAUCCGCGCCGCAUUAGCUAGUUGGUAAGGUAACGGCUACCAAGGCAACGAUGCGUAGCCGACCUGAGAGGGUGAUCGGCCACACUGGAACUGAGACACGGUCCAGACUCCUACGGGAGGCAGCAGUAGGGAAUCUUCCGCAAUGGGCGAAAGCCUGACGGAGCAACGCCGCGUGAAUGAUGAAGGUCUUCGGAUCGUAAAACUCUGUUAUUAGGGAAGAACAAAUGUGUAAGUAACUAUGCACGUCUUGACGGUACCUAAUCAGAAAGCCACGGCUAACUACGUG
rnacentral:rRNA from 1 species